rnacentral:rRNA from 1 species
AGAGUUUGAUCCUGACUCAGGAUGAACGCUGGCGGCGUGCCUAAUACAUGCAAGUCGAACGCUUCACUUCGGUGAAGAGUGGCGAACGGGUGAGUAAUACAUAAGUAACCUGGCAUCUACAGGGGGAUAACUGAUGGAAACGUCAGCUAAGACCGCAUAGGUGUAGAGAUCGCAUGAACUCUAUAUGAAAAGUGCUACGGGACUGGUAGAUGAUGGACUUAUGGCGCAUUAGCUUGUUGGUAGGGUAACGGCCUACCAAGGCGACGAUGCGUAGCCGACCUGAGAGGGUGACCGGCCACACUGGGACUGAGACACGGCCCAGACUCCUACGGGAGGCAGCAGUAGGGAAUUUUCGGCAAUGGGGGAAACCCCGACCGAGCAACGCCGCGUGAAGGAAGAAGUAAUUCGUUAUGUAAACUUCUGUCAUAGAGGAAGAACGGUGGAUAUAGGGAAUGAUAUCCAAGUGACGGUACUCUAUAAGAAAGCCACGGCUAACUACGUGCCAGCAGCCGCGGUAAUACGUAGGUGGCGAGCGUUAUCCGGAAUUAUUGGGCGUAAAGAGGGAGCAGGCGGCACUAAGGGUCUGUGGUGAAAGAUCGAAGCUUAACUUCGGUAAGCCAUGGAAACCGUAGAGCUAGAGUGUGUGAGAGGAUCGUGGAAUUCCAUGUGUAGCGGUGAAAUGCGUAGAUAUAUGGAGGAACACCAGUGGCGAAGGCGACGAUCUGGCGCAUAACUGACGCUCAGUCCCGAAAGCGUGGGGAGCAAAUAGGAUUAGAUACCCUAGUAGUCCACGCCGUAAACGAUGAGUACUAAAGUGUUGGGUGUCAAAGCUCAG